rnacentral:rRNA from 1 species
CCUAGUGAGGUAGAAGUAGGGAAGAGUGCGCAAGGGGGGAAACCCGGAAGCAGCAACGCCGCGUGGAGGAAGAAGGUUUUCGGAUUGUAAACUCCUUUUGUUAGAGAAGAUAAUGACGGUAUCUAACGAAUAAGCACCGGCUAACUCCGUGCCAGCAGCCGCGGUAAUACGGAGGGUGCAAGCGUUACUCGGAAUCACUGGGCGUAAAGAGAGCGUAGGCGGGAAAGCAAGUCAGAUGUGAAAUCCUAUGGCUUAACCAUAGAACUGCAUUUGAAACUGUUAUUCUAGAGUAUGGGAGAGGUAGGUGGAAUUCUUGGUGUAGGGGUCAAAUCCGUAGAGAUCAGGAGGAAUACUCAUUGCGAAGGCGACCUGCUAGAACAUAACUGACGCUGAUGCGCGAAAGCGUGGGGAGCAAACAGGAUUAGAUACCCGGGUAGUC